rnacentral:lncRNA from 1 species
UCUUUUAAUGAAGUAUUUAUUAUUUUAACUACCAAAUGAUGCAGUGUAAAUAUACAGAGAACUUGGUUUAAGGUUGAAAAUGAAUUGGCCACGUGUAUGUUUAAAAGGUCUUUUACAAAAGGCUGGCAAGACCAUCUGUUCCGUAUGACUUAAGAAUCUUAAACUAUAAUCUAGAAAGGAUCAAGAUACUGAUUUGCCUUUGAGACACCAAUGUAUUUAUACGUGUUUCUGAAAAAUAAAAAUUAUGUCCAAGU